GGUGUAGCAGCUGCGAUCUGUCGGGAUAGCACGGGCAAGUAUCUAGGAGCUUCAGCUGUGGUUUUUGAUGGCCUGAUUGAACCAGCGAGUUUGGAGGCACAUGCAUGUAGUGAAGCUCUUGCACUAGCUCGGGAUUUGAAUCUUCAAAAUCUGGUGAUAGCCUCGGACUGCCUUGAGGUGAUCUCGAACAUCAACAAUAAUGCAUCACCGGUUUAUGCUCCGAUCAUAAAGGAAAUUCUUGUGAGUAGGAAUAGUUUUCUUACAGUUUCUUUCCAUUUUGAGCGUAGGAAUAAUAAUUUUGAGGCCCACUGGAUAGCAAAAGGAGUUGCGUCUCUUUCGGUGGGUCGCCAUGUGUGGCUAGGGAAUCUCCCAGACAUUGCUUGUAUCCCGGAUGUUUUGAGUUUUGAAUAA
rnacentral:rRNA from 1 species